AGCAGGCGAGCCUGCGAGGUCGCCCCUGAAAUAUUCAUAAGGCGUGUUACCCGACCUCCGCUCGGAGGUGGGGCAGGCGCAGCCCGCAGCCGUACCCGCACUUGGGGGAAAGGCACUCACGACCGCACACGCCACCGCCACGCUCCCCGGUUCCACCUGCCUAGGAAGGAGCGAUGCUCUCCUAAGGACUUUCCCGGCAGUUGCAGGAGGUGCGGCGCUCCGGCCCCUCCGGCGGCCCCUCCGGGACGGGGGCGAGGCCGACCCGCUGCCCGCGGCCCCCGCACGGCCCCGGGGGAGCCCCAGGACCCCGUGUCUGCCGCUCGCGGGGCCCAGGCCGCCCUCGGCGUCCCCCCUCCCAUUCCGGCCUCCGCCGGGGAUGCUUCCUCCAGAGCCCUCGCUCGGUCGCUAGGUGACCCGCGCCUGGGCCGAAACGCAAACGGCCUCCCGCGCGGCCCCGCGCCCCGCCCCCCGGGUGCUGGUUCGGGGGGGCAGCUUGCGGGGAAGGAUCUCGGUCCCGAAGCCCCCGCACCGAGGCCGGGCGUGCUCCCCUUCCCAGCCCCUCUCUGGCCACGAGCCUACCUCGCCGCUGCGCCCCGCACGGUGCCGCGUCCCCGUCACCACGUCCCUCCUCCCCAAGGGCGUUCGCCCCUCGCGCCCCUGCCUCUCCGGGGUCGGCCCCCGGCGCGGCGACUCACCGGGCUCCCGGCGGCGGCGGCGGCGGCGGCGGCGGCUGCGGCGGCUGCGGGACGCUCAGCAGGUCCGAGCGCGCGGCAGCCGGGUCUCCAUCCCCGCCCUCGGCGGCGGCGCUCCACGCGCUCCGUCCGUCCCCCCGCGCCGCGGCUGCACCGGGAGGCCGCGGCUGCCGCACUGGCUGCGGGCGGGCGCGGGCGGGGCGGGGGCGGGCCCGGAAUCUGGGUCGCGGGGAGCGGAGCCCGCCGGGAGGCGCCCGGGCGGCCGGCGGCGGGGAGGCGACCGAGAGCCGCCCGCGGAGGGCGCGCGGAGGUUUCCCGGGGACCGCGACGCGGACGGCGACUGAGCAUGCCCAGUCCCCGGGCGGGGGCGCGGGCGCGGGGGGCGGGGGCGUGGCGGGGGCGCGGUAGGGGCGCGGCGGGGAGCGGAGGGAGGGGGGCGGCUCUGGGGGCGGGGGAGCAGGGCGGCCGCGCGGGCCCAGGUCAGUGGCACGGGGCCCAUCCGCGGGAGGCGCGCGGACCCGUGGACCUGUCGGAGCGAGAUGCGCUCCCCGCUCCCUUCCCAGAGAAUUGUCCAGAAGUCAAAGUUUGCUGUCAGUUCAGCUGCGGCCCCGCGGCCUCUCCCAGGGAUUCCCGCAGUCCAGACGCCCACCCCACCUGCCUUCCUGUGCCUGGGGGCGGGGGGGGGGAGGGGGGAGGGCAGCGUCGCCUUUCCCAACUCCUGGACCGGUCGGGUCAAGUUCUCCCAGGGCCAGCUCUUUCAUUAGGUGUAAUGGAGAGAUCGAGUCCGUCCUCCCGGGUCACAUAUCUGCAUUUCAACCAGGGCUUCGGAAACACUAGCCUCACCCCGGGGUUAAUUGUUCUGGAGGGAUGGUCCACCUCGUGGUCUGGGACUCUUUGA
rnacentral:lncRNA from 1 species